rnacentral:rRNA from 1 species
AAUCUACCUGUAACAGAGGGAUAACCCGGAGAAAUCCGGACUAAUACCUCAUAGCACAUAUUAUUCGCAUGAAUUUUAUGUUAAAGAGACUCGGUUACAGAUGAACAUGCGUUCCAUUAGCUAGUUGGCGGGGUUACGGCCCACCAAGGCAACGAUGGAUAGGGGUUCUGAGAGGAAGGUCCCCCACACUGGUACUGAGACACGGACCAG